UUGUUGUAUGUUGUUACUUACACAGAUGUUCCAUAAUUUUUUGCAUAUGGCUCAGCCAAAGAAAGCUUUUCACUUCCAUUUUUGGGAAAGUUGCAAGUGCCUGUGUAAGGGCGGGCACGUCUGGUCUUUACAUCAUUUCUAUGGAGACGACAGGGCGGGAUGGCCGGUGGGCAGGCGUGCCCGAGGGUGGACACGCACAUGUGGAGUGACGGGAUCCUCUGCCCCAUGUUGCUCACCACAUUUGAUCUAGCUCCUUCCUGAGUCAUUCCUAUGAGACGGCGGAGUGGCGAGGACACCCGAGGUCGCUGGUAUUUGCUGGGAUAACACAUUAUCUGAAGGCUCUCUAAAGAGGGUUUGAAUAUUUACAGAAGGAAAAAAGAGGCAGGAGAAAUGAGAACACAGUGAAGAUUUUUUGGUUUCUGACUUGGCAGUCUUCACAACUGAAAGCAGCCCGGCCCUCUCCCGUUUCCACGACCUGCCCUGGGCCCUGAGCAGCAUGCACAUAUACGCGACCAGGGGGAAAUGACCUGCAUGAAGUGACAAAAGGCAGAGCAAACACAGGAGAAGGGUCAAAGGCGACGGUGGUGCCGGAGCCGGCCUGGGCUCUCCUGAGGAGCUAUUGCCAGAGUCCAGUCUCCCUGGCGAUUCCUCCAUGAUCAGGGAGAGGGGCCGGCAUGGAAAUCAAUCCAUUCUUUUCCUCACUCUCACUUCAAUUAUCCGUGCUACCUCAGCCUGCACCAGCAUUGAUUCACGAGGUCGAGUCAUCUUUGUACUCACAGGUGUGACACAAUAGGGCACAGACCCGAGCAUGACACAGGUGGUGCCAGCUGCCGAGUCAGGUUUCAUGGUUGUGAAGAGGAAAGUAAAGGUGAUGUUCAGCUCGUCUCCCUGAAGACUGUCCAUCUGAAUUAGGAACGGGAAGUCCUUCCUGUGACUCCACUGAAAGAUAUCAGGACUGUGUCCUUGUUGGAGCACAGCCACGUGAAGAUCCGCUCAUUGGCCUACAUCGUAUAGUUUAUCCAAGACGAGUUUACACUUAAACACCCAGCAAGGGGGAUCUCAGAAGAGCACUUAUGAAAUAGACUGAAAUUUAAUGAUAGAUCUUCUUGGGUAGGUGGACUAUCAAGGCACUCAUAAAAUAACAGGGUUGAAAGAAUAAAAAGGUGGGUGUUUUGGUACGUGAGCCCCUUCAGCCUGGUACAUGGAGGGUGCCCAGGUGGUACUGAAUAAAGGGAAAGGUCUGGAAGAGGAAGGACGAAGCAAUUCAGCUGUCAUUCUGGAGACUCUCUUGUAAGACUGCAAACAAGUCUAACAUCAUCAUUAACAGAAUUUAAUACAGAAAGCUUCCAAGAGAGAAACUCCCAAGUCCCCCCUUUAUGACCAAAUUUCUCAGAGGCUCAGUGGAUCUAAAUUUAAACUCCACAGGAAACAGGACCCUUUGCCUCAAGGCACUAAAGGUAACACAUUUCUAUAAGAGGGCCGUCUGCUUAGCCUGUCUCCUUUGGUAUCAAGGGUCUUGAAUUCAAAAAGGAUCAAUAAAAAAAAACAACACAGAGUUCCUUUUGUGUGCCACUCGCUAUUAACAAAGGAGAAAAAUGUGUGAUUGUCAAUGAGAAUUUGACAACUCAUUUUAACUAAUACCAGUUGAAUUCCCAGAGCUAGAGACUGACCUGGGGUUGGGGGUGACAAGGGUGUGCAGGUAAGACUAGGGACACCCUUUGUUCAGACCAUCAGAACACACACCAGAAAGACCAGGGGGCCUCACCUCAGGGCUACCAUUUCCUCAGAGUCCACGGUCCUAACCCAGCCUAAGUUUGAUCCACCCUGUGGCUUUUGAUGAAUUCUCAGCUGUUGGUUUCAUACUGCAUUAAUGUAAGGACUUCAUUACCUACACAUUCACUUGAAACGAGCAAUUAAACUUUUCUUUGUUGUUUA